GGUGACUGCGUACCUUUUGUAUAAUGGGUCAGCGACUUAUAUUCUGUAGCAAGGUUAACCGAAUAGGGGAGCCGAAGGGAAACCGAGUCUUAACUGGGCGUUAAGUUGCAGGGUAUAGACCCGAAACCCGGUGAUCUAGCCAUGGGCAGGUUGAAGGUUGGGUAACACUAACUGGAGGACCGAACCGACUAAUGUUGAAAAAUUAGCGGAUGACUUGUGGCUGGGGGUGAAAGGCCAAUCAAACCGGGAGAUAGCUGGUUCUCCCCGAAAGCUAUUUAGGUAGCGCCUCGUGAAUUCAUCUCCGGGGGUAGAGCACUGUUUCGGCAAGGGGGUCAUCCCGACUUACCAACCCGAUGCAAACUGCGAAUACCGGAGAAUGUUAUCACGGGAGACACACGGCGGGUGCUAACGUCCGUCGUGAAGAGGGAAACAACCCAGACCGCCAGCUAAGGUCCCAAAGUCAUGGUUAAGUGGGAAACGAUGUGGGAAGGCCCAGACAGCCAGGAUGUUGGCUUAGAAGCAGCCAUCAUUUAAAGAAAGCGUAAUAGCUCACUGGUCGAGUCGGCCUGCGCGGAAGAUGUAACGGGGCUAAACCAUGCAC
rnacentral:rRNA from 1 species